AUUGAACGCUGGCGGCAUGCCUUACACAUGCAAGUCGAACGGCAGCACGGGAGCAAUCCUGGUGGCGAGUGGCGAACGGGUGAGUAAAGUAUCGGAACGUGCCCAGUCGUGGGGGAUAAAGUAGCGAAAGUUAAGCUUAUACCCCCUACGAUCUAUGGACGAAAGGGGGGGAUCGCAAGACCUCGCCCGAUUGGAGCGGCCUAUAUCAGAUUAGGUAGUUGGUGGGGUAAAGGCUCACCAAGCCGACGAUCUGUAGCUGGUCUGAGAGGACGACCAGCCACACUGGGACUGAGACACGGCCCAGACUCCUACGGGAGGCAGCAGUGGGGAAUUUUGGACAAUGGGCGAAAGCCUGAUCCAGCCAUGCCGCGUGCAGGAUGAAGGCCUUCGGGUUGUAAACUGCUUUUGUACGGAACGAAAAGGUUUGGCCUAAUAAGCUGAGCUCAUGACGGUACCGUAAGAAUAAGCACCGGCUAACUACGUGCCAGCCGCCGCAGUAA
rnacentral:rRNA from 1 species